rnacentral:rRNA from 1 species
AUUGAACGCUGGCGGCAUGCUUUACACAUGCAAGUCGGACGGCAGCACAGAGAAGCUUGCUUCUUGGGUGGCGAGUGGCGAACGGGUGAGUAAUAUAUCGGAACGUACCGAGUAAUGGGGGAUAACUAAUCGAAAGAUUAGCUAAUACCGCAUAUUCUCUGAGGAGGAAAGCAGGGGACCUUCGGGCCUUGCGUUAUUCGAGCGGCCGAUAUCUGAUUAGCUAGUUGGUGGGGUAAAGGCCUACCAAGGCGACGAUCAGUAGCGGGUCUGAGAGGAUGAACCGCCACACUGGGACUGAGACACGGCCCAGACUCCUACGGGAGGCAGCAGUGGGGAAUUUUGGACAAUGGGCGCAAGCCUGAUCCAGCCAUGCCGCGUGUCUGAAGAAGGCCUUCGGGUUGUAAAGGACUUUUGUCAGGGAAGAAAAGGCUGUUGCUAAUACCGACAGCUGAUGACGGUACCUGAAGAAUAAGCACCGGCUAACUACGUG